rnacentral:rRNA from 1 species
CAAGUCGAACGAUUAAGACUUCCUUCGGGAAGUGCAUAAAGUGGCGCACGGGUGAGUAACACGUAAGUAAUCUACCUUCGAGUGGGGAAUAACGUCCGGAAACGGACGCUAAUACCGCAUAAUGCAGCGGCAUCGUAAGAUGACAGUUGUUAAAGGAGCAAUUCGCUUGAAGAGGAGCUUGCGGCAGAUUAGCUAGUUGGUAAGGUAAUGGCUUACCAAGGCUACGAUCUGUAACCGGUCUAAGAGGACGGUCGGUCACACUGACACUGAAUAACGGGUCAGACUCCUACGGGAGGCAGCAGUCGGGAAUUUUGGGCAAUGGGCGAAAGCCUGACCCAGCAACGCCGCGUGAAGGAUGAAGUAUUUCGGUAUGUAAACUUCGAAAGAAUAGGAAGAAUCAAUGACGGUACUAUUUAUAAGGUCCGGCUAACUACGUGCCAGCAGCCGCGGUAAUACGUAGGGACCAAGCGUUGUUCGGAUUUACUGGGCGUAAAGGGCGCGUAGGCGGCAUGACAAGUCACUUGUGAAAUCUCCGGGCUUAACUCGGAACGGUCAAGUGAUACUGUCGCGCUAGAGUGCGGAAGGGGCAAUCAGAAUUCUUGGUGUAGCGGUGAAAUGCGUAGAUAUCAAGAGGAAUACCUGAGGUGAAGACGGGUUGCUAGGCCGACACUGACGCUGAAGCGCGAAAGCCAGGGGAGCAAACGGGAUUAGAUACCCCGGUAGUCCUGGCCCUAAACGAUGAAUACUUGGUGUCUGGAGUUUUUAGUGCUCCGGGUGCCGUCGCUAACGUUUUUAGUAUUCCGCCUGGGGAGUACGCUCGCAAGAGUGAAACUCAAGGAAUUGACGGGGACCCGCACAAGCGGUGGAGCAUGUGGUUUAAUUC